AGGAAUAUUGGUCAAUGGGCGAUGGCCUGAACCAGCCAAGUAGCGUGAAGGAUGACUGCCCUAUGGGUUGUAAACUUCUUUUAUAAAGGAAUAAAGUCGGGUAUGCAUACCCGUUUGCAUGUACUUUAUGAAUAAGGAUCGGCUAACUCCGUGCCAGCAGCCGCGGUAAUACGGAGGAUCCGAGCGUUAUCCGGAUUUAUUGGGUUUAAAGGGAGCGUAGAUGGAUGUUUAAGUCAGUUGUGAAAGUUUGCGGCUCAACCGUAAAAUUGCAGUUGAUACUGGAUGUCUUGAGUGCAGUUGAGGCAGGCGGAAUUCGUGGUGUAGCGGUGAAAUGCUUAGAUAUCACGAAGAACUCCGAUUGCGAAGGCAGCCUGCUAAGCUGCAACUGACAUUGAGGCUCGAAAGUGUGGGUAUCAAACAGGAUUAGAUACCCUGGUAGUCCACACGGUAAACGAUGAAUACUCGCUGUUUGCGAUAUACGGCAAGCGGCCAAGCGAAAGCGUUAAGUAUUCCACCUGGGGAGUACGCCGGCAACGGUGAAACUCAAAGGAAUUGACGGGGGCCCGCACAAGCGGAGGAACAUGUGGUUUAAUUCGAUGAUACGCGAGGAACCUUACCCGGGCUUAAAUUGCACUCGAAUGAUCCGGAAACGGUUCAGCUAGCAAUAGCGAGUGUGAAGGUGCUGCAUGGUUGUCGUCAGCUCGUGCCGUGAGGUGUCGGCUUAAGUGCCAUAACGAGCGCAACCCUUGUUGUCAGUUACUAACAGGUGAUGCUGAGGACUCUGACAAGACUGCCAUCGUAAGAUGUGAGGAAGGUGGGGAUGACGUCAAAUCAGCACGGCCCUUACGUCCGGGGCUACACACGUGUUACAAUGGGGGGUACAGAGGGCCGCUACCACGCGAGUGGAUGCCAAUCCCUAAAACCCCUCUCAGUUCGGACUGGAGUCUGCAACCCGACUCCACGAAGCUGGAUUCGCUAGUAAUCGCGCAUCAGCCACGGCGCGGUGAAUACGUUCCCG
rnacentral:rRNA from 1 species